CAAUAGCGUAUAUUAAAGUUGUUGCAGUUAAAAAGCUCGUAGUUGGACUUGUGGUGGUUCCUGUGGUCCAAUUUUGGUACUGUCGGGGACUGCCAUCUUUGGGUGGAUCCUGUGUGGCAUUAGGUUGUCGUGCAGGGGAUGCCCAUCGUUUACUGUGAAAAAAUUAGAGUGUUCAAAGCAGGCUUAUGCCGUUGAAUAUAUUAGCAUGGAAUAAUGAGAUAGGACCUUGGUACUAUUUUGUUGGUUUGCGCACCGAGGUAAUGAUUAAUAGGGACAGUUGUGGGUAUUCGUAUUCCAUUGUCAGAGGUGAAAUUCUUGGAUUUCUGGAAGACGAACUAAUGCGAAAGCAUUUACCAAGGAUGUUUUCAUUA
rnacentral:rRNA from 1 species